rnacentral:lncRNA from 1 species
UAAUGCAUUUAGAAAAGUCAAAAUAUCUUAUAAUUUGGAAACCAGUACAGUAUGACAAGUGGCGUUCUUUUAAUUGUUAUUAUGAAAAUGUUCUUUUCCAUGAAGCACACAUAACACAUACCGAAUUACCGAUCAAUCUGUCUCCACUUGACAAGAAAUAUUCUCUUUUCCAAACAGGUUACAGGUCCACAUCAUUAAGGUAUGACAUAGUUGCAGAAACACCACUGCACAUAUGUGAAAACUGAAAGUUAGGGCUCAAGGGGCGACUGUGUUUUGCUAGUCAACGGCUAAGUUGAUGUGUGAGAUCCAACUCAGCUCACGGAUCUGGCCAGGCAAGACUUGCUUUCCAAUGUCCCAAACUCUGUUCAUGCCUAGCUGAUAUCCCCAUCUGUUCCCAUGAGGUUGCACAAUUCCUUCCAGCAUUAGCAUCACCAAUCACUAGCCUGCUACCACAGACAAACAAGCUGGAGUAUCUAGGAGAGACAGGCAGGGGAGAAGCAAUUGCAGACCAUGCAGUGAGCUUGGCCAAGUCGGUGGAGGGGGCUGUGACCAAGGCACUGGCGGCAAUUGAGGAGGAGGCAACCCUGAGGAAGAGCACGCAGAAUGACCUGGCAUUCAUCACUGGUGAGUUCCAGAUGAUGCAAUCCUUUCUCAAUGUCGCAGACGAGGAACGCGCCAGGAACAACGUGGUGAGGACCUGGGUGAGACAGGUCCGUGACCUCGCCUACAACGUGGAGGACUGCAUCGAGUAUGUGAUCCACCUGGACAAGGCAUCAGACUGACGCUGCCGCUGCCUCCCAGGCUUCAUCAGGCCCGAGCUGCCGCUGGACAAGGCGAUUGCUGAGAUAAAGCUGCUCAAGAUCAGGGUUGAGGAGGUGAGCCUUCGGAACAUGCGCUACAACCUCAUCAGUGAUUCAGGUUCCAAGCCCAUCAUGCAGCAACAGUUGGUGCCUGGUGCUUCUGUUGGUGCCACAACAUUUGACAUGCUCAUCAAAGCAAGAGAUACCACAAAGAUGCAACGAGGAUUAGGAGAUCUAACUAAGCUGUUGAUCACCAAGAAACCCAGUGGCAACCUUGGACUCGGGGUGAUCUCGUUGUGGGCGGCAGAUGGUAAUGCUAAUACCACACCCGUCAUCAGGGAGGCCUAUGGCGAACCAGAAGUAUUUGAAAGCUCCGGACAUCGUGGCUGGGCAAAGCUGAUGCAUCCUUUCAAUCCCCACGAGUUCCAGUUCCAGCGGAGUUUGCUGAUUCAGUUCCACACAAACUCUUGCCUACACAACAAACUGGGCGUAGACGUAGGUACACUCAAGAGAUUGGGAGUGGCUGCAGAAGGCGAACUUAUUGAAGAGUUCAUGGAUCAAAUGAAGAAGUGAUACCUGGUUGUCCUGGAAAAUGUUUCCAGUAUGGUAGAGUGGGACACUGUCAGAGCAUACCUGCCUGAAGCGAAAAACGACAGUUGGGUCAUCAUCUCCUCGCAGCAAUCUGAAGUCGCCGGGCUGUGCGUUGGAGAUCCAUGGCAAGUGUUUGAACUUAAGCAGUCCUCAGCUGAACACUCUGUAUGUGUCUUCUUCAGGGAGGUAAGCAGCUGAAACACGAUGGAAUAACUUUCUGGAAAAAAUGGCCUUAAUCUCUUUUGUUCUUCUUUUGGACAUCAGUAGUUUCCUGUAAACAACAUUGAUUUACAUAUUCUAAUCAUAUGCUAGAAAAAAUUAAUUUAAAACUAUUGAUAGAUAUAGAAGUACUUUGAUUAAAAAUGUACAGUAGCAGUUCUACUUAUGUUGCUCAUCACCAGUGAAAUUGAAACUGUGAAAACCUUGGGGCUGGCUGUGCAAAAGUGCAGACAAUGGUAGCCACUGGUAUAUUUAUCAUUAACAAAAGCACCCCCCCCCCCCUCUACACAGACGCAUGCACACGCACACACAAUGAGACUGAUUCCCCAUAGGGAAUAACAGAGAUAUGUUUAGGAGAAAGUAGUGGAAUAAACUCUUAUAUUUGUUCAGUGAAAUCAGCAAAUCCCAACUCAUAAUGUAACAGUUGACACAGGAUUCAGAAACUGUGCCAUCCCUCAAAUGUUUGUUGCAUGUUGCAUUAAUUCCUCAUCCGAAGGUGCACAUGUACCCCUCCCCUUAAAUUUUCUGUAUUUUCAGGGUUCUCAAGGCGACAUAGAUAAAAGCAAGCAAACCACUAUGGUGAUGGCUAAAAAAUAAUGAGGCGUCAUCAUCAAUGGGUGUCCAAAACAAUGCUGAUAUGUUGAUUGGUCGAUACCCCCUAGUUGAAGUACACAAUUCACAGAUGAAAGAUCUUCGUGGCUAUUUAGCCAGAGCAUGUGUUAAUGGUUUUCCUGUGAUAUCUGUGUGGGGGAUAGCUGGUGUUGGGAAAUCAGCUCUAGUCAGGAACUUAUACUAUGACAGAAUGAAUGACAGUGCCACCAGAAUAUUUACCAUGUACAGUUGGGUGGAUGUAUCACAUCCAUUCAAUUUAAGGAACUUGGCUUGGAGCUUACUUUCAGAACUUCAGUCAGAUUCUCAUCAGCAAAAUGGAAUCAGCAAUCCCAUUCAAGAUUGUCAUGAGCUUCUGGAGAAGCAUAGCUGCCUUUUCAUUAUAGAUAGUUUGCAAUCCACAGAAGAGUGGGACCUAAUACGUCAUUCCUUGGUAUCUACGCAUUCUAGAAGCAUCAUCGUUGUGCUUACAACUGAAGCAAGCAUAGCCAUACAUUGUGCAAAUCGAGAAGAGGCAAUGUAUAAUGUCAAAAGUCUAGAAGAUGACGAAGCAUGUGAUCUCUUCAAAAAGGAGGUGUGUUUUCAUACAAGAUACUUGCCUAUUCUCUUGGUUUAUACAUCUUGAUGCUCAAAUUCAAUAGUUAGUCUAUGAUUUCUCACCCCCAGCCCCCCCCCCCCCCCCCCCCUUGCCUCCCUCCACCGGGAGAAUGUUUUGCAAAACAUGAAAAAUGAUGUGAACAUUUUCUUUUGCACCAAUGUAGUUUUAUCCAAGUUUUUUUUCCCUGUUGUUAUGGUUAUCCGGACUUCUUAUAAAAGACGCAGAAUGAUCUUAUCCAAGUCUUCAGAAAAUGUACUUUAGUAUGCUUAACAAAACUCCAUAUCCAUAUGGUAUGAUAAAAGUUCAGAACAAUUCUAGGACCAUGAAUAAAAAAAUUCUCUAUUAAAGAAUUAUAUAUUCAGUAGUAUUGAUUUUAUAAACAAAUAGACAAAUUACAAUCAUACUAUCAAUAUAGAUAUGUCACAAUAUUUCAACAAAACUAUAUUUUUUUCUAAAUAAAAACUGACAGAUUAUAACAGACAACAAGCUGCGAUCCACAAUUUGAAGGAUGAAACAAACAGGGCCUUGCACAUGUAAUUUUUCCAAUUUUUCAAUGAGUUUAUGCAUGCUAACAGCACAAACUAAAACCAAAUCUAAAGUGUGAUUAGUUGAUACAAUAAUUAUUACUUUUCUUUUCUCAAACAAUGUUGGAGAGCUGCAUGUCAUUUCAUUAAGAAGGAAAAUAUAAUAAUUAUUACUAAUAUAACUUCUUUUCAAUAAUAUAGGUAGGGAAAUUUCCAGAUUCAUCUGCUUUAAGGGAUUCUGAAGAUCCCAAGCUACGAAAACUUAUUUCCAAGUGUGGCGGACUUCCCAAAGUAAAAGUUGCUGUAGCUGACUUUUUGGCACCCAUGACAGUCAGCUGGAUGAAAACUGCAAUGAAUCUUAGUGACAGAUUUAUGCAUGAUCUAGAGACCAAACCAGAAUUUGACAACCUGCGUGGACUGUGGAUGCAUUCCUACUUCCGUACUUGCCCAGAUUAUCUUAAGCCCAUGUAUCCUCUACCUAUCCAUUUUCCCGCAAGGCCAAAGCAUUCAACGAAGGCGUCUAGUGAGGCGGUGGAUCGCAGAGGGUUGCUCGAGGGACACAUCCAACAGGUCAGCUGAGGAUAAUGGGGAAAAAUUCUUCUUGAUGCUCCUUGAUCUGAGUAUCAUCCAGCAGACACCACAUUCAGUCACAACUGCAGAUACAAGAAUGGUCUUGUGCCAAGUUAACGGCUUCUUCCGUGAGUACAUCAUAUCAAGGCGAAAGGAUGAGGACAGGUGCACAUUGACCAGUCAACGCACAGGACAGCACCUUGUCAUAAAGGAAAACUGGGACAGAGACAAGAUUGUGUUCAGUAGUAUUGACUUUUCAAGGCUACGCUCCCUCGCUGUGUUUGGACAGUGGAAGCCUUUCUUCAUCAGUGAAACUAUGAGGGUGCUCCGGGUGCUUGAUCUCGAGAAUUCAACAGGUGUGACAUAUAAAUACCUGGAGCAGAUGAUGAAGCUGCUUCCUCGCCUCAAGU